rnacentral:rRNA from 1 species
UACGUAGGGGCCUAGCGUUGUCCGGAUUUAUUGGGCGUAAAGAGCUCGUAGGCGGUUUGGUGAGUCGGGUGUGAAAUCUCCACGCUCAACGUGGAGGGGCCACCCGAUACUGCCAUGACUAGAGUCCGGUAGGGGAGUGUGGAAUUCCCGGUGUAGCGGUGAAAUGCGCAGAGAUCGGGAGGAACAUCCGUGGCGAAGGCGACUACCUGGACCAGCACUGACACUGAGGCACGAAAGCGUGGGGAGCAAACAGG